CAUGGAAUAGAAUUUAGCAGGAUUAAUGAAAGUGAACAGUGGAUUACCAGGAGGAGCAGCAGAGAGGUGAGAGAAUACACACCUCCAAAUGUAGAUGGAAGCAGACAACCCAAACCAGGAUGUAUCUAAUUUGCACCUCACUCAAUUCACUCAGUGGCCCGGUAUUCAAGAAAGCUUCCUCUUUUUGCCAUUAGUGAUGAAGAUAAGAAAACCAAUGAACGUACAAAACUGAGAUUUCUAAGGAAUACAGGUGCUGUCUAACAAGAGCAAGGGAAAAACCACUGGUGUCUCAGCUCUGCUGCUAUAAGGUCUUCAACAAGCUAAAUAUUGCUAUUUGCUAUUCAGCUCACCCAUGCAAUCAGUUGCUUUGCUUUUCUACAAUUCAUGAGCAUAGACUCGCAGGGAUCUCAAACAGUAUUUCAGACCUACACUAUAAUCAGCAGAGGAAACAUAUUUAUUACUGCUUUUAUAAUUGCUUUAAUUCCUUUAUAGUUAGAUCUCAAUUUUAAUUAUGAAUAAUUGCACUGACAGGGUCAGCAAUGACUCCUGAUUUCCAAAAAUCAAUGGUUCAACUUGAAGGAAGGAACUCACCCCUUUGUCCUUGGGAAGACACUGCAUCAAACUACAUUUGCUGGUCCAGAUUCUGAGUUAAACACUGUACUCAGUAGAACUACAUCAGUGUAUUGGAGCUGAAGCUGUAAUCACAAGACGUUCUUAAGUGAAGCCCUAAGGCUUCAGGUUGGCCACUUGUUCUAUCAAUCAGGAGAGGUUAUCUUGUGUGGUGGUCGUGGUCUGCAUCUGGUUAACAGAGACACUGAUGCUGACAAUAAUGACCCUAACUAUAAUAAUUUCCACUUUAGUAAUCUCAAUAGUAGUAUUUAAAAUGAGGAUAAAGUUUUAUUUAUCACAAAUGGAUGCCCCACUGAUUAUGCAAAUGAAUCUUCUUGGAACUGAGGUUGUAAUGCCUUCUGAGCUAUCUAGUUAUUCCACCUUAGCCCUUGUUCCUUCAGUAUCAUUGGAAAUGAAUGGGAUUCAUCCAACAGAUAUGAGACCCACAGGUGAUUUUUCCAGCCUUGAAAUCUCACUGCUCUUCUAUACAAAUGCAUAACCAUAGCAAAGGCACUGGAACAUUUGUGGAUGUCAUCUAUUUAAAUUUUUGUUAAAGCUUAGCCAUGCUACUUAAGCUUGCAUACUAUUUUAAACAUAUUAACCCAAAACAGUUUACUUUCUUAUAAGCACACAACAUAGAUGCAUACUUUCUCUGUUUAAUAGAGAGCCUAUUCAACUUAUUGUAAGAUCAAUCCACAAAGCUAGGGUUUUUAUCUACUAAUUUUCAUCCCAUUUUUAUGUAUUUUACUACAUUUUUUUAAAAUACUAAUUAACUUCUUAGACUUCAUACUUUUCCUUCUGUAUUCAGAGCAGUAGAAAUCCCCAGUCUCUCUUCCUGUAAUCUGGAUUUAUUUAAAUCGUUGGUUGCUAUUUUUCAUUUCUCAAUCCAAUUGUUCCAAUGACUGUCACACUCCUUUUAUCUUCCACUAUCAUUCUGGAAUCAGCCUUAUCGUCAGCAUUAUCAUUGCCAGUAAUGAUUACAUCUCUUCUUCAAACAGUACUGCUGAUAAAAGACAUUCCAGUAGAACAGAAACAGCUGUAAACUGGUUCUGAAUAUCUUCUUUCGUUCUCUGCUUCCUUAAGGGUACUGUUCUUACUUCUGUUUUGUAC